rnacentral:rRNA from 1 species
CCUACGGGGGGCUGCAGUGGGGAAUAUUGGACAAUGGGGGCAACCCUGAUCCAGCCAUGCCGCGUGUGUGAAGAAGGCCCUCGGGUUGUAAAGCACUUUCAGUGAGGAAGAACGCCUGGUGGUUAAUACCCAUCAGGAAAGACAUCACUCACAGAAGAAGCACCGGCUAACUCCGUGCCAGCAGCCGCGGUAAUACGGAGGGUGCGAGCGUUAAUCGGAAUUACUGGGCAUAAAGCGCGCGUAGGUGGCUUGAUAAGCCGGUUGUGAAAGCCCCGGGCUCAACCUGGGAACGGCAUCCGGAACUGUCAAGCUAGAGUGCAGGAGAGGAAGGUAGAAUUCCCGGUGUAGCGGUGAAAUGCGUAGAGAUCGGGAGGAAUACCAGUGGCGAAGGCGGCCUUCUGGACUGACACUGACACUGAGGUGCGAAAGCGUGGGUAGCAAACAGGAUUAGAUACCCGAGUAGUC